UAGCCCCUUUUUAAUAACUAAAUUAUGUACCUAAUUUCUCCUUUUUUUUUUUUUUUUUUUUUUUCCCCGUCCUGUGGUUUCCAUAUAUAUUUUAUCCUGAAGGAAAUACUUAAAAGCCUUUUCUAAACUGAAAAUUUCUGAUCUAUAACUUCUCCACAGGAUCAUAUUUCAUUUGGAGGCAUUCAUCUCUUUUUUUCCCAAGGCUUUUAGCUCAUUUUCGUCAGAUCAAUAAGAGUAGUUGUAAUCAAUAAAUACAUAUAAGGGUUGUGCCUAUACCACCAUGUCUGCAGCAUCGUGUCAAUGUAUCCAAGAUAAUGUCAGACUACCAGCUCCGUUUUCAAUGUCUGUAAAGUGAAAAUUUGUUAUUUGAGAGCUUUUAGUGUAAAGGUAUCAUGGGUAUGUCUAAACUACCCUUCCAUCAUAAUCAUCUCAUAGCAGUAACUGUAGCAGUGGUAUAAACAUGAAUGGAAAAUAAUGAAGUUUUAUAUUCAAUGCUGUUUGAUUACCUAUAAGUGCAUGUAGCAAGGUAAGAUAGAAGUACCUAUGAUGACAUUUUGUUUUCUUAGAUUUGAAGAUUGCCCUCUCUCACUACUUAAACUCAGGAUGAAUGCCAAAAUAUUCUCUUUGUGGACUAGGAAACUCCUACUUCAUCAGCAUUUGAACUGUGAUCGAACUAUUCUGAGCAUCUCUGAGAAGAGCUCUUCUCCCUAAUGACCUCUUGUUCUGAAUUAAAGCAUUAAAUCAUAUAUCCAAAAUGAAAAUGUGAAAUUAAAAUUUAAAUGGGAAAAAAAAAAAAAUCCCCCCUUUCAUUUUCCUUUCUCCUUAUUUGUGGGUUGUUGCUGUUGUUUUCUUGGAAAAGUAAUGCUUUUUGCUGAGUGAAGAUGAUGAAUCAUAGAAGCUUUUCCAUCUGGAGAGGCUUUACUGUUCCAAAUCUCCAGACUUGCAUUGCUCUUCUCCAUUAUAUUAAAGGCACAAAACCAUUUUAACAGACACUGUAGGUUUAUUUCAGUUAAGGGGGAUUCUCUGAUGAUGGAGAUCUGCCAUAGUAAUGUGUUGGCCUCCCGACAUCCUUUUGGCAUAGAAGAUGCACAUGUGAAAAAGGAUGUAAUUCUGACUUCCCUCUAUUUCACUAGCAUAUGGAUGCUAAAAUGCAUUGUUGAAGUAAUUGGCUAGGGGCAAAAAGUGAAAAUGCGCAAGGGCUGUUCUAACUUAAGACAAGAACUAACAUUUGUGUAGACUUAGAAGACAUUCAAAAAUGUGGUACAAUUUUUUAUUUUAUUUUUUCCCAUAAAUGAUUGCAACUCUUCCUUGGGCAAACUCUACAGUGAAAUAUAAUGCAGAAAUCAAGAUGGAAUAAGGAUGAAAGAUAUUUCCUUACUACAUCCUGAGACUUCAAAACAAGGACAAAGAAGCAGAAAAGCAGCUGAAAGGCUUGAGUUCCUGAGAUUUGGCUUGUACUAAGAUGUAAUAUGAUGGUUCCCUGCACUAUAAUCCCACUGCUGGAAGUAUUUCUGUUAUGUUUUUGAUGAAACUGUAAUUAAUUCAUUACAGGCUUGACAACCAAUUUUUUUUUUCUGUCUUUUAGACACAUCUUUGUCCUGUACAGGGACAGGUGGAGAGAAUUAAAUGGGAGAAAAUAAUAUGUAAAAAUUAUUUAGAUAGAGAAUGAUUAUCCAUCAUAUAUUUAAUACAAACAUCCUUUUUUUUUUUUUUUUUAAGGCACCUUUUAACUGAAAUCUGUUAGAGAGUUCCUUACAGAGAUGUGAAACUCAAAAUGAGCCAUUACAGUGCUGUUACUACCUGGUAUUUAUUAUUACUUCUGCAAUUUCCAUCUUACAUUUGUUUAAACAUAUUUUUUUUUAAGGAAAAAAAAUAAUGAUAAAAAAUAAUAGUUGAUGUGGUUGGUGGGUAAAUGGCCCAGAAAACUUCUAGCUAUCUGUCCCAAAUGAUACUAGUGACAGAGAUGUGGAAGAACAACCCUCAGUGUGUCUUAACAACUGAAGUGUUUUCCAAGUUAUUCCAACUAUUUUUGCAAUCAAUAACUUCUGGACUGUACUGCUGAAGCACAGCACAUAAGCUUACAUGGUUUACAUCUGUUUCAAGCAGGUUUAUUUAAGUAUAGCCAUAGAGGUUGAAAGACAGAGCAAUAAAUGCCCCAGUCUUGCAAUUACA
rnacentral:lncRNA from 1 species